rnacentral:rRNA from 1 species
AUUGAACGCUGGCGGCAUGCUUUACACAUGCAAGUCGAACGGCAGCGCGGGCUUCGGCCUGGCGGCGAGUGGCGAACGGGUGAGUAAUUCAUCGGAACGUGCCCAGUAGUGGGGGAUAGCCCGGCGAAAGCCGGCUUAAUACCGCAUACGACCUGAGGGUGAAAGAGGGGGACCGAAAGGCCUCGCGCUAUUGGCGCCGCCGAUGUCUGAUUACCUGGUUGGUGGGGUAAAGGCUUACGAAGGAGAGCAUCCGUAGCUGGUCUGAGAGGAGGACCAGCCACACUGGGACUGGGAAACGCCCCAGACUCCUACGGGAGGAAGCAGUGGGGAAUUUUGGACAAUGGGGGCAACCCUGAUCCAGCAAUGCCGCGUGAGGGAAGAAGGCCUUCGGGUUGUAAACCGCGUUUGUUGGGGAAGAAAUCCUCUGGGCUAAAACCCCGGGGGGAUGACGGUACCGGAAGAAUAAGCACCGGCUAACUACGUG